rnacentral:tRNA from 1 species
GCACCUGUAGCUCAGUGGAUAGAGCACACGCCUCCGACGCGUGGUGUCGGACGUUCAAAUCGUCUCAGGUGCGCCA